CCUACGGGGGGCAGCAGUGGGGAAUAUUGCACAAUGGGCGCAAGCCUGACGCAGCCAUGCCGCGUGUGUGAAGAAGGCCUUCGGGUUGUAAAGCACUUUCAGCGGGGAGGAAGGCGGUGAGGUUAAUAACCUCAUCGAUUGACGUUAUCCGCAGAAGAAGCACCGGCUAACUCCGUGCCAGCAGCCGCGGUAAUACGGAGGGUGCAAGCGUUAAUCGGAAUUACUGGGCGUAAAGCGCACGCAGGCGGUCUGUCGAGUCGGAUGUGAAAUCCCCGGGCUCAACCUGGGAACUGCAUUCGAAACUGGCAGGCUAGAGUCUUGUAGAGGGGUAGAAUUCCGGGUGUAGCGGUGAAAUGCGUAGAGAUCUGGAGGAAUACCGGUGGCGAAGGCGGCCCCCUGGACAAAGACUGACGCUCAGGUGCGAAAGCGUGGGGAGCAAACAGGAUUAGAUACCCCGGUAGUC
rnacentral:rRNA from 1 species